rnacentral:rRNA from 1 species
CAAUAGCGUAUAUUGAAGUUGUUGCAGUUAAAAAGCUCGUAGUUGGAUUUGUGGCUGUCACGGGCGGCCUAUCACUUAGUGUUAGUGCUUGCCUGUGUCGCCAUCCUUGGGUGGAGCCCGUGUGGCAUUAGGUUGUCGUGCGGGGGAUGCCCAUCGUUUACUGUGAGAAAAUUAGAGUGUUCAAAGCAGGCUUAUGCCAUUGAAUAUGUUAGCAUGGAAUAAUAAGAUAGGACCUCGGUACUAUUUUGUUGGUUUGCGCACCGAGGUAAUGAUUAAUAGGGACAGUUGGGGGUAUUCGUAUUUCAUUGUCAGAGGUGAAAUUCUUGGAUUUCUGAAAGACGAACUACUGCGAAAGCAUUUACCAAGGAUGUUUUCAUUAA